rnacentral:rRNA from 1 species
CCUACGGGAGGCAGCAGUGGGGAAUAUUGCGCAAUGGACGAAAGUCUGACGCAGCGACGCCGCGUGUGGGAUGAAGCUCUUCGGGGUGUAAACCACUGUUGCCCGGGAAGAAACUCCUGAUUCGUCAGGACUGACGGUACCGGGUGAGGAAGCACCGGCUAACUCUGUGCCAGCAGCCGCGGUAAUACAGAGGGUGCGAGCGUUGUCCGGAAUCACUGGGCGUAAAGGGCGCGUAGGUGGCGGGAUAAGUGUGUGGUGAAAGCUCGGGGCUCAACCCCGAGUCUGCCAUGCAGACUGUCUUGCUCGAGCGUAGUAGAGGCAGGUGGAAUUCCGGGUGUAGCGGUGGAAUGCGUAGAGAUCCGGAAGAACACCGGUGGCGAAGGCGGCCUGCUGGGCUACUGCUGACACUGAGGCGCGACAGCGUGGGGAGCAAACAGGAUUAGAUACCCUGGUAGUCCACGCCGUAAACGAUGGGUACUAGGUGUCUGGGGGAACGACCCCCGUGGGUGCCGGCGCUAACGCAUGAAGUACCCCGCCUGGGGAGUACGGCCGCAAGGCUGAACUUAAGGAAUUGACGGCUGAGAGNGCGAGACGACGACGAGGGAGGAGG